rnacentral:sRNA from 1 species
UUUUUUUUUUUUUAACACAAAAAGUUGUGCACGCCGGAGUUGUGUCCCUCUCACAUAAAAUCCAUCUCACCCUUUUGUGCACCACCGCGUGGGCACCCUUCGGGGUCAAGCUGAUCCAGGAGGGGGCUUGCGUUUUCACACAAACCCCUUUUUAAAAGUGUAGAAUGUCCCCAUUUUUGCGAUAACGCGAAAUCAAUACAACUUUCAACAACGGAUCUCUUGGCUCUCGCAUCGAUGAAGAACGCAGCGAAAUGCGAUACGUAAUGUGAAUUGCAGAAUUCAGUGAAUCAUAGAAUCUUUGAACGCACCUUGCGCCCCUUGGUAUUCCGAGGGGCACACCCGUUUGAGUGUCGUGAAAAUCUCAACCUCCUUGGUUUCUUCUGGACACCAAAGGAGGCUUGGACUUUGGAGGCCCUUUGCUGGUGUUUCUCUUUUUUGAAAGCCCAGCUCCUCUUAAAUGAAUUAGCGGGGUCCUCUUUGCCGAUCCUCGACAUGUGAUAAGAUGUUUCCAUGUCUCGGUUUCUGGCUCUGUUGCUUUUGGGACCCGCUUCUAACCGUCUCAACCUUGCGUCGAGACAAUGCUUGGGCGUGUCUCCCUUCUCGGGAAACACUCUCAACCCCACGAACCCUUGACCUCAAAUCGGGUGAGACUACCCGCUGAACUUAAGCAUAUCAAUAAGCGGAGGAAAAGAAACUAACAAGGAUUCCCCUAGUAACU